rnacentral:rRNA from 1 species
UACGUAGGUGACAAGCGUUGUCCGGAUUUACUGGGCGUAAAGAGCGCGCAGGCGGUCGUUCAAGUCGAGUGUGAAAGCCCCCGGCUCAACUGGGGAGGGUCAUUCGAUACUGAUCGACUCGAAGGCAGGAGAGGGUAGUGGAAUUCCCGGUGUAGUGGUGAAAUGCGUAGAUAUCGGGAGGAACACCAGUGGCGAAGGCGACUACCUGGCCUGUUCUUGACGCUGAGGCGCGAAAAGCUAGGGGAGCAAACAGGG